rfam:Triticum aestivum genome assembly, contig: Triticum_aestivum_CS42_TGACv1_scaffold_094905_2AL
GUAGUAUUCCCUCCGUCCCAAAAUUCUUGUCUUACAUUUGUUUAGAUACAGAUGUAUCUAACACUAAAAUGUACCAAGAUACAUCCGUAUUUAGACAAAUUUAAGACAAGAAUUUUGGGACGGAGGGAGUACAAA